GCAGCCGCGGUAAUACGUAGGUGGCAAGCGUUGUCCGGAAUUACUGGGUGUAAAGGGUGCGCAGGCGGGACUGCAAGUUGGAUGUGAAAUACCGAGGCUCAACCUCGGAGCUGCAUCCAAAACUGUAGUUCUUGAGUGAAGUAGAGGUAAGCGGAAUUCCGAGUGUAGCGGUGAAAUGCGUAGAUAUUCGGAGGAACACCAGUGGCGAAGGCGGCUUACUGGGCUUUAACUGACGCUGAGGCACGAAAGCAUGGGGAGCAAACAGGAUUAGAUACCCC
rnacentral:rRNA from 1 species